rnacentral:sRNA from 1 species
AGGGGUGGGGCUGCGGGCGGCCCUGGAGCGCGGCGCUGAUGGCGGGGCCGGUGAAGGACCGCGAGGCUUUCCAGAGGCUCAACUUCCUGUACCAGGUGAGUCUGCGACAAGGGCCCCACGGGGACGGUGCUCGGCGUCCCAGAGUGACCGCUCCCCUCCCGCAGGCCGCCUAUUGUGUCCUUGCCCAGGACCCCGAGAACCAGGCGCUGGCGAGGUUUUACUGCUACACUGAGAGGACCAUUGCGAAGCGGCUCGUCUUGCGGCGGGACCCCUCGUUGAAGAGGACUCUCUGUCGAGGCUGCUCUUCCCUCCUCGUCCCGGGCCUCACCUGCACCCAGCGCCAGAGACGUGAGUGCUCCAACCGAGGUGGAAGAUUGCGGAGCAUUGGGGGCGCGGGGGGGCGGGGUGGGGGGCGGGCACUGGGAGGCCAACAGCGCCUUUCUCACUUUAGAUGGAUGUUGGGUGUGGGAUUCGCAGGAGUCUUCCUUCUUCGGGUUUGGAUUAAGUUGCUAACGCCACUUGCACAAACUAGGGUUUGGGCUCGGCUUUUUUUUUUUUCUUCCAGUGUGGACAAUAAAGAAUAACUUUUAAGAGGCAACCCCACCCACGCACAAUAAUAGAUGUUAUUCGGCUUUGUGGAGGUCAUGAUUCCCAUCACAUUCAUUUAUUAAGCAAAUACUUAUUUUCUAAAAUGUGUCAGGCUGCAGGGGACAGCGCUGGACCGUACAGACCUGCCUAACAUGCCAGCGCAGCCAACGCUUC